rnacentral:rRNA from 1 species
UGCAGAAUCCCGUGAACCAUCGAGUCUUUGAACGCAAGUUGCGCCCCAAGCCUUCUGGCCGAGGGCACGUCUGCCUGGGUGUCACAAAUCGUCGUCCCUCUCAUCCUUUUAGGACGUGGGACGGAAGUUGGUCUCCCGUGUGUUACCGCACGCGGUUGAUCAAAAUCCGAGCUAAGGACGCCGAGAGCGUCAUGACAUGCGGUGGUGAAUUAAAGCCUCUUCGUAUCGUCGGUCGUUCCAGUCCAUAAGCUCUCUUGAUGACCCAAAGUCCUCAAAGCGACCCCAGGUCAGGCGGGAUCACCCGCUGAGUUUAAGCAUAUCAAUAAGCGGAGGAGAAGAAACUAACAAGGAUUCCCUUAGUAACGGCGAGCGAACCGGGAAGAGCCCAGCUUGAAAAUCGGAUGUCUUCGACGUUCGA